rnacentral:rRNA from 1 species
CAGGAUGAACGCUGGCGGCGUGCCUAAUACAUGCAAGUCGAACGAAUCUUCUUCGGAAGAUGAGUGGCGAACGGGUGAGUAAUACAUAGGUAACCUGCCCCUGUGCGGGGGAUAACAGGAGGAAACUCCUGCUAAUACCGCAUAGCCAUGAGCACCGCAUGGAGCUCAUGCCAAAUAUCCUUUCGGGGAUAGCGCAGGGAUGGACCUAUGGCGCAUUAGCUGGUUGGCGGGGCAACGGCCCACCAAGGCAACGAUGCGUAGCCGGCCUGAGAGGGCGGACGGCCACAUUGGGACUGAGACACGGCCCAGACUCCUACGGGAGGCAGCAGUAGGGAAUUUUCGGCAAUGGGGGAAACCCUGACCGAGCAACGCCGCGUGAGCGAAGAAGGCCUUCGGGUCGUAAAGCUCUGUUGUAAAGGAAGAACGGCGCAUACAGGAAAUGGUAUGCGAGUGACGGUACUUUACCAGAAAGCCACGGCUAACUACGUGCCAGCAGCCGCGGUAAUACGUAGGUGGCGAGCGUUAUCCGGAAUCAUUGGGCGUAAAGAGGGAGCAGGCGGCCGCAAGGGUCUGUGGUGAAAGACCGAAGCUAAACUUCGGUAAGCCAUGGAAACCGGGCGGCUAGAGUGCGGAAGAGGAUCGUGGAAUUCCAUGUGUAGCGGUGAAAUGCGUAGAUAUAUGGAGGAACACCAGUGGCGAAGGCGACGGUCUGGGCCGCAACUGACGCUCAUUCCCGAAAGCGUGGGGAGCAAAUAGGAUUAGAUACCCUAGUAGUCCACGCCGUAAACGAUGGUCACUAAGUGUCGGGGGUCAAACCCCGGUGCUGCAGUCAACGCAAUAAGUGACCCGCCU